GGUUGGGUCGCGAUUGGUGAUCGAUCCGAUGAACCCCGCCAGGUCCGGAAGGAAGCAACGGUAGUCAGGUAAUCUCACGCAAUCGAUGCACUCAGCCUUU
rnacentral:SRP_RNA from 1 species